rnacentral:rRNA from 1 species
CCUACGGGUGGCAGCAGUGGGGGAUAUUGCACAAUGGGGGGAACCCUGAUGCAGCGACGCCGCGUGGGUGAAGGAGCGUUUCGGCGCGUAAAGCCCUAUCGGCAGGGAAGAAGGAGGACGGUACCUGACUAAGAAGCCCCGGCUAACUACGUGCCAGCAGCCGCGGUAAUACGCAGGGGGCAAGCGUUAUCCGGAUUUACUGGGUGUAAAGGGGGCGCAGACGGCGGCGCAAGCCAGGAGUGAAAGCCCGGGGCCCAUCCCGGGGACGGCACUUGGAACUGCGUGGCUGGAGUGCUGGAGGGGCAAGCGGAAGUCCGUGUGGAGGGGUGAAAUGCGUAGAUAUACGGGGG